UGGGGAGGCAAAGUCAAGUAUGUGAUGGUU
rnacentral:piRNA from 1 species